rnacentral:rRNA from 1 species
GACGAACGCUGGCGGCGUGCUUAACACAUGCAAGUCGAACGAAGUGGCGAACGGGUGAGUAAUACGUGGGUAACCUGCACUCCUUUUUGGGAUAAGCCUUGGAAACGGGGUCUAAUACCGAAUAAAGGGGGAUGGGCCGGCGGCCAAUGAGCUUGUUGGUGGGGUGAUGGCCUAACAAGGCGGUGACGGGUAGCCGGCCUGAGAGGGUGACCGGCGACAUAGGGACGGAGAUACGGCCUAGACUCCGACGGGAGGCAGCAGUGGGGGAUAUUGAACAAUGGGCGAAAGCCUGAUGCAGCGACGCCGCGGGAGGGAUGAAGGCUUUCGGGUUGUAAACCUAUUUCGCUAUAGAACGGGUAGGUAGAGAAGAAGCGCCGGCUAACUACGUGCCAGCAGCCGCGGUAAUUC